rnacentral:rRNA from 1 species
UACGUAGGGUGCGAGCGUUAAUCGGAAUUACUGGGCGUAAAGCGUGCGCAGGCGGCUUUGCAAGACAGAUGUGAAAUCCCCGGGCUUAACCUGGGAACUGCAUUUGUGACUGCAUCGCUGGAGUGCGGCAGAGGGGGAUGGAAUUCCGCGUGUAGCAGUGAAAUGCGUAGAUAUGCGGAGGAACACCGAUGGCGAAGGCAAUCCCCUGGGCCUGCACUGGACGCUCAUGCACGAAAGCGUGGGGAGCAAACAGG